UGUUAAAGUCUCAUUUCUUCUCCCCUGUUCCUCUAUUGCAAGUUAGGGUUUUAAGAGAGUUAACUCUCCAUGGCGUCUCGGGAAUGAUGCUGUGAUUUCCUUUUGCUUUGGAAAUCUUUGGUUUCUGGUUUUGUUGAAGACCAACAGUUGUCUUUACACCCAGUUGCAAACAAAACUUGGGAUUAGACACUAGAUUCAGCUUGGAGCAGAGAAUCUCAAAUCCAAGUCAAGAAGAGUCCUUUGUUAAGACGGCAGAAAUUUAACUUCAAUUUGUUUAGCAGCUACUCUCUCUUUAAUGAAAUCAACAUUAAUCUCUCAA